AACGAACGCUGGCGGCAGGCUUAACACAUGCAAGUCGAACGCAUCCUUCGGGGCGAGUGGCAGACGGGUGAGUAACGCGUGGGAACGUGCCCUUCAGUUCGGGAUAACCCAGGGAAACUUGGGCUAAUACCGGAUACGUGUGAGAGCAGAAAGAUUUAUCGCUGAAGGAUCGGCCCGCGUCUGAUUAGCUAGUUGGUGGGGUAAUGGCCCACCAAGGCGACGAUCAGUAGCUGGUCUGAGAGGAUGAUCAGCCACAUUGGGACUGAGACACGGCCCAAACUCCUACGGGAGGCAGCAGUGGGGAAUAUUGGACAAUGGGCGCAAGCCUGAUCCAGCCACGCCGCGUGAGUGAUGAAGGCCUUAGGGUUGUAAAGCUCUUUCGUCCGGGACGAUAAUGACGGUACCGGAAGAAGAAGCCCCGGCUAACUUCGUGCCAGCCGCCGCGGUAA
rnacentral:rRNA from 1 species